AUUGAACGCUGGCGGCAGGCCUAACACAUGCAAGUCGAGCGGGGUUUUCGGACCUAGCGGCGGACGGGUGAGUAAUGCGUAGGAAGCUACCCGAUAGAGGGGGAUACCAGUUGGAAACGACUGUUAAUACCGCAUAAUGUCUACGGACCAAAGUGUGGGACCUUCGGGCCACAUGCUAUCGGAUGCGCCUACGUGGGAUUAGCUAGUUGGUGAGGUAAUGGCUCACCAAGGCGACGAGCCCUAGCUGGUUUGAGAGGAUGAUCAGCCACACUGGAACUGGGACACGGGCCAGACUCCUACGGGAGGCAGCAGUGGGGAAUAUUGGACAAUGGGCGCAAGCCUGAUCCAGCCAUGCCGCGUGUGUGAAGAAGGCCUUCGGGUUGUAAAGCACUUUCAGUAGGGAGGAAGCGUUGUGUGUUAAUAGUACACAGCGUUGACGUUACCUACAGAAGAAGCACCGGCUAACUCUGUGCCAGCCGCCGCCGUAAGAC
rnacentral:rRNA from 1 species